rnacentral:rRNA from 1 species
GAUAAACGCUGGCGGCGCACAUAAGACAUGCAAGUCGAACGGACUUAAUCGAAAUAUUUAUAUUUUGAAGCGGUUAGUGGCGGACUGGUGAGUAACGCGUAAGGAACCUACCUAUUAGAGGGGAAUAACAGUGAGAAAUCAUUGCUAAUACCGCAUAUGCCAUAGAUAUCGACAUGAUAACAGUGGGAAAGGAGCAAUCCGCUAAUAGAUGGCCUUGCGUCUGAUUAGAUAGUUGGUGGGGUAACAGCCUACCAAGUCGACGAUCAGUAGCCGGACUGAGAGGUUGGCCGGCCACAUUGGGACUGAGACACGGCCCAG